rnacentral:rRNA from 1 species
AAACCAACCGGGAUUGCCUUAGUAACGGCGAGUGAAGCGGCAAAAGCUCAAAUUUGAAAUCUGGUACCUUCGGUGCCCGAGUUGUAAUUUGUAGAAGGUAACUUUGGGGCUGGUCCUUGUCUAUGUUCCUUGGAACAGGACGUCAUAGAGGGUGAGAAUCCCGUGUGGCGAGGAUCCCAGUUCUUUGUAAAGUGCUUUCGAAGAGUCGAGUUGUUUGGGAAUGCAGCUCUAAGUGGGUGGUAAAUUCCAUCUAAAGCUAAAUAUUGGCGAGAGACCGAUAGCGAACAAGUACAGUGAUGGAAAGAUGAAAAGAACUUUGAAAAGAGAGUGAAAAAGUACGUGAAAUUGUUGAAAGGGAAGGGCAUUUGAUCAGACAUGGUGUUUUGCGCCCUCUGCUCCUUGUGGGUGGGGGAAUCUCGCAGCUCACUGGGCCAGCAUCAGUUUUGGCGGCAGGAUAAAUCUGCAGGAAUGUAACUUGCCUCGGUAAGUGUUAUAUCCUGUAGAAAUACUGCCAGCUGGGACUGAGGACUGCGACUUUACGUCAAGGAUGCUGGCAUAAUGGUUAUAUGCCGC